GAUGAACGCUGGCGGCGUGCUUAACACAUGCAAGUCGAACGAGAAGUGAAGACGGAACCCUUCGGGCGGAAGGCUUUAUUUCGAGUGGCGGACGGGUGAGUAACGCGUGGGUAACCUGCCUCAUACAGGGGGAUAACAGUUGGAAACGACUGUUAAUACCGCAUAAGACCACAGCACCGCAUGGUGCGGGGGUAAAAACUCCGGUGGUAUGAGAUGGACCCGCGUUCGAUUAGCCAGUUGGCGGGGUAACGGCCCACCAAAGCGACGAUCGAUAGCCGAUCUGAGAGGAUGACCGGCCACAUUGGGACUGAGACACGGCCCAAACUCCUACGGGAGGCAGCAGUGGGGAAUAUUGCACAAUGGGGGAAACCCUGAUGCAGCGACGCCGCGUGAGUGAAGAAGUAUUUCGGUAUGUAAAGCUCUAUCAGCAGGGAAGAAAAUGACGGUACCGGAGUAAGAAGCCCCGGCUAACUACGU
rnacentral:rRNA from 1 species